rnacentral:rRNA from 1 species
GACGGAAGGUGCAAGCGUUGCUCGGAAUCACUGGGCGUAAAGGGUGCGUAGGCGGCUUGGUAGGUCUGGUGUGAAAGCCCCGGGCUCAGCCCGGGAAGGGCACUAGAAACUGCCAAGCUAGAGUGCCGGGAGGGGAGAGUGGAAUUCCUGGUGUAGCGGUGAAAUGCGUAGAGAUCAGGAGGAACUCGGUGGCGAAAGCGACUCUCUGGACGGCAACUGACGCUGAGGCACGAAAGCGUGGGGAGCAAACAGG